AUUGAACGCUGGCGGCAGGCCUAACACAUGCAAGUCGAGCGGAUGAAUGGAGCUUGCUCCUGGAUUCAGCGGCGGACGGGUGAGUAAUGCCUAGGAAUCUGCCUGGUAGUGGGGGAUAACGUCCGUAAACGGGCGCUAAUACCGCAUACGUCCUGAGGGAGAAAGUGGGGGAUCUUCGGACCUCACGCUAUCAGAUGAGCCUAGGUCGGAUUAGCUAGUUGGUGGGGUAAAGGCCUACCAAGGCGACGAUCCGUAACUGGUCUGAGAGGAUGAUCAGUCACACUGGAACUGAGACACGGUCCAGACUCCUACGGGAGGCAGCAGUGGGGAAUAUUGGACAAUGGGCGAAAGCCUGAUCCAGCCAUGCCGCGUGUGUGAAGAAGGUCUUCGGAUUGUAAAGCACUUUAAGUUGGGAGGAAGGGCAGUAAGUUAAUACCUUGCUGUUUUGACGUUACCAACAGAAUAAGCACCGGCUAACUUCGUG
rnacentral:rRNA from 1 species